rnacentral:rRNA from 1 species
AUAGCGUAUAUUAAAGUUGUUGCAGUUAAAAAGCUCGUAGUUGGAUCUCGGGUACUAGCAUGUGGUACGCUUGAUUGCUGUUACUACAUGUCUGGUCCUAAUUCAUCGGUUGGCUGUUGAUGCCCUUUACUGGGUGUUUUCAGUGGCCGAUACGUUUACUUUGAGAAAAUUAGAGUGCUUAAAGCAGGCCUUACGCCUGAAUAAUGUUGCAUGGAAUAAUAGAAUAGGACCUCGGUUCUAUUUUGUUGGUUUUGUAGAGCAUUGAGGUAAUGAUUAAUAGGGACAGACGGGGGCAUUUGUAUUGCGGUGUUAGAGGUGAAAUUCUUGGAUCGCCGCAAGACAAACAACUG